CUGCUUAGUACUGUACAAACGCACAACAAAAAGAACGGUCUCUCCAUUGAACAUCUCCCAUGGCUUCUACUCUGCAAUGCCUCCUGCCAGAUGGUGAGGGUCUGUCAGCCCCGACCUGAUGCAUGAUCAGUGUUGUGGCAUGUUGUGCUGGGGUGAUUUCCUCCCUGCCUUGUAAGAAAUAGUGACACUGACCUCCUCUGUCAAGUACUUGUUGAGAUCUCGUAAUGCAAAGAGCCAUAAAAGAGGAAACCUACCAGAAUCAGGUUGAAGGUGACAGACAGUGUCCCAUGGACAACCUGCACAACCAUUUUCUUUUCAUGGAAAAACAUGAUAGAGCUUUUCUCUUAGUAGUGAAGGACAAAAAACUCUAAGGACACAGAUGGUGCAUUUUACAAGUGUGCUAAGUGACACUGGGUGAGUUGAGCCUGGAACAAUAAA